UACAAGUCCAGAUCCAGAACCAACGCAGCUGCCAAAAACAAGUUCCGGGAAACUACAUGCCAGCGACUCUGCAACGCUCUUCAUCCCAGCAGCCGUCGGCGUGUUCGGAGCAAGUCUCAAGCAGCUGUGCGCGUGUUGCGAUAUCAGAUAGCUCGGUCUCCAUGGAUGGAGCUUGCCCUUCAGCUUCAGAUUUGCAGAGGAUGAACGGAGGAGGGCGAAACCAAAGUUUGUCGACCAUGAAACCGGCGUCCCUGUGACCCAAAGAGCUCCGCCGGCGGCGUGGUCGAUCGCGGAUAGCUCGAACCCACUCAGGCAGCAGCUGAUGCCGGCGGCGACGCGAGGCCUGCUUCUGUUCAUCGGCAUCUCCAAGCAGCUAACGCAGCCGCCGGAGCAUCAGCCUCCGCCCAAUCACAGGUGAGACAACGAGAGCUUCCUUUCGAGCGGAAUCGCGAAGGGAAAGAAGAGAGAAUCCCGUCCUAAAGAGAAUGAACCUAUGAAUCAUGUCGUGAAGGAAACCGUAAAGGGAAAUCAUUGAAACGCUGAAAGGAACAAAAAUUCCUUCACAACGAGAUUUUAGUCCCCGAUGGAAAGCCGUGGGGUAGCCUAAAGAAAAAAGGAACGUACCUGUACCAAUCUAUCCACGGAUGUGAGAAUAUUCUGUUCUGGCGUAUCAUCGCCACGACCAGAAAACAAGAAAACAUUCAGAUGUUGCCCAUUAAUUGACAAGUACAGUAUCCUAUUAAUGGUGAAGUUGGUGUAUAUAUAAGUGGGGUGGUACUACUAUACAUGUAUAUAUACUACCAUGGAUCGAGCAACUAAAUUUUCUGUUGACAUCAACAGUCAAGUAAUUAAGGAAGUUAAAACAACACGAAGAACAGAUCGAACAUGGCAGUGACGAAGAACAGUUGCAUGUAAGGGCCAACACGCUGGCCUAAUUUCCAUGUGAUUUUGUGGAAUAGCUGCAGGCCACCAAUUAGUACAGACUGGCUUUUCUAUCUAGUACAAGUUGUCGGAUUUUUUUUUCUCAAGUUUUUUUUUCUAUUGUGGGGUUUCUCAAAGGGCAAGUCAACUUGAUAUACUUGCACUUGAAAUUCUUUUGCGUGCGGAUCUUGUCGUUGACGAGGGUAGUACGGGCGGACAAUCAACCUGACAAGGAAAUACUUGUGUUCUUCUGUGUACCGACUACGUCCUAUAAGUGCACGACCGAGCUUUCCAUCUCGCCAGCCAUAUUUCUUAGCUUAUUGGGUCGCAGUUUCCCUCUUUGAUGCAAAUAAGAUUCAAACAAAACAGAUUUUUUAAUUAAAAACAUACUUUUCGUUCAUGGCCGGAAUAAACGAAUUUCGCGAAAUUUUCACCGAAAUUAAAAUCCCUGCGGAGAUCACUGUGUAGAAUGGAGAGGGAUACUUUACAGCAAACAUAUAAGAGAUCGAUCAUGUAUUCAUGUCCCUUAUUGUUACAAGGAAAUAAAAUCCAUCAACGAGAUAGCACACGUUACACAUACACGUCUUACACUCGUUACAUUAUUCGAGUAACAAACGUGUACUAUUGCUUCGUAGCUCAUGCUGCGAUCUGAUAGAAGAGAGCGAGCGCGGCGAGCACGAGCGUGCCAAGACCGCAGCACGCCAGCACCGUCGCCGCGAACGCCGUGCUCGCCUUCGUCUUCUCGGCCUGCGCCGUCCCGAACGUGAGCACCCCCAAGCUCACCGAGGCGACGAAUGCUGAUGCCAGGAGGAGCGUGCACGCCUGCAGCUGCUCUUUGCCUACCGCGCCGCCAAGCAGCCCGCCGAAGAUGGCUAGAAUGGCGCCGAACGAUACCGAGGCAACCGCCACCGCUAUCACGUACAUCGUGCCAUGCGCGGCCUUUCCGUCCUCCGUCUCCGUGCACCCACCGUCCUCGCCUGCUGCGGUGAAGAACUCGACGACCAGCCAUGCGGAAGCCCCGGCGACGACUGGGAACACGGCGGCUACUAGUAGCCCGUGCAAGAUAGUUUCGGCGAUCAUGAGGAUAGCCGACACAUGAACGGCAAUCAUGACGAUGUUUGCUGCAGAGAGUAUUGCCCUCUGCCAUGUUCCCGACCGCCGGCAAUCGCCAUUGCCGCAGAGCAUCCUGCACAGCAGCAAUGCCAAGAUUCCGGCGACGCCUGCGCCGAGCAAGAGGUAGACGGGGACUUCGACUUGCGAAUAGGCUGCGCCUAGGCUAGGUGCCUUGUGGUAGAUGGCAAAGACAACACCAAUGAAUCCAGAGAAGGACGUCGAGACCAGCGACAAGAUGAGCUGGGUUGCGCGCUUUACCUCCUUCUUGCGAGCUUUGCUCUGCGCUGAACUGAUCUCCCCGUGAUCAGUAUCAGCGCAAUAGAGGAAGUGAAAUCCGGCGAUAAGGAGUGACGGGAGCAACGCAAGAGGCAGGAAGUAGUAGGCCUUGCCCUUGGGUAGGAGGGAAUAGGUGAUCGAUAUGCAUGUCAAGAAGAGCGAAGCCGCGCCUAUGGCGAAGAGGAUCUUAGAAGCCCUGGACAGGUUCUUGGGGAUGAGCCGUGCUGAUUUAAUGGCCAUCAGUUUCAAGGUGUGGAACAAGAGGCUGAUGGCAGAUAGGAAGGCAGUGAAAGCGAAGAAUGCCGAGAGCUUCAGAGUCAGAUCUAUCUUAGCAGCGGAUCCAUGGAGGCAGAGUAUGUCGAUCAGUGGGAUCAUGGAGAUUGUGAUGAGGAUUACUGACACCUUGAGGUCAAAUUUCAGUUUUAUAUUUCUCCCUUUGCUCACGGUCGCGGUGCUACUCGCGCAAUUCUGCAGUACAUGACAUAAAAUUAAGGACAUGUAAUAAUAAGUAGUUAGAUGUAGGUUCUUUAAUUAAUUAAACUUGAUUGAUACAUGUAGUGAUUCAUAUUUGCACUAAUAUUUUUCAUGCCGAUAUGUAGUAGGAAUCUAUGUUGAGUAAUGUAUAGAACGUGCAUGAGAAAUAAUACACACGUGCAUGCAUCAUACUUGAUGAAAAAGGCCUUUGAGGAAAUAGAGGUAGAAAUUUUACGGUGAAGUGUGUUAGUGCAUAUAUAAAGAGUACUAGCUAGAACCUGCACGCGCAAAAGGACCAGACUUUAUCUUCACAAAGUAGCUAGCAAACGGAAACACUUAAAGAAUCAAGGAUGAUGCAGAGUUGAAGUUACAAAUAUGGUUAUUUGGGAAGUGCAUGACUUCGUGGUUGUCGAAUGGGAUGAGCCGAUGAGAUACCUUCAACUUUGUACUGAAAAAAUAUUGGGAAAAUUAAGAAUUUUUAUUGUUACCUCAACUGGCAGAUUUUGUUGGAAAAUCCCCAUUUCUAUACCACCGACUGGCACAAGAGCAUUUCCACCUUCUAUGGCGUUGUCCUGUGCAUGACGGCAAGGGGAUAAAUUAAUCAAAGAAAGGUGAAACCAAUUUUUGGUGAGAAUUGGUGCAGUGGAGAAUAAGGGAAUUCUUUUCGUACUGCAGCUAGGAGGAGCUGAUGUGCUGGACGCAACCCCUUCUCUUCAUCUCUAUUGUCCACCAACUGAUCUGGAGGAGGGAGAUGAGGAAGAGGACCCUCCUUCUCCGCUGCGCCCACCACGUCCUUCAUCUGCACAUCUACCAAGCAAUGGAAAUAAGAAAGCCAUCGAUCGUUGGAGGAAAGAGAAGAGUUACAAACGAGUGACGAGGUAGCUAGCCUGCAUAUCUCUUCCUUGCUUUGGCCUUCUUCUCAGCGAGCUUUCUCUCCCAUGGAAAAGAAGCUGAUAAUCAAGAACCCAUCAUCGAUCCGAGGCUAGCUAGUUAGCUGCUCAUCACGUAUUAAUUGGAGAGAGGCAGAGAGGGAGGAGUGUAAUGUAAUGACACAGGAGAAGCUUUCGUGUUUGUGUAGUAGGCUAGUUCCACUCCACUCCGCACUUCAGAGUUCAGAGGUCCUUAGCCUCCAAGUAAUGAUUUUGAAGUCAAAAUAGGAGGCUGCUAUA